UACGAAGGGGGCUAGCGUUGCUCGGAAUCACUGGGCGUAAAGGGCGCGUAGGCGGACUCUUAAGUCGGGGGUGAAAGCCCAGGGCUCAACCCUGGAAUUGCCUUCGAUACUGAGAGUCUUGAGUUCGGAAGAGGUUGGUGGAACUGCGAGUGUAGAGGUGAAAUUCGUAGAUAUUCGCAAGAACACCAGUGGCGAAGGCGGCCAACUGGUCCGAUACUGACGCUGAGGCGCGAAAGCGUGGGGAGCAAAC
rnacentral:rRNA from 2 species